rnacentral:rRNA from 1 species
AGUGAACGCUGGCGGUAGGCCUAACACAUGCAAGUCGAACGGCAGCACAGUAAGAGCUUGCUCUUACGGGUGGCGAGUGGCGGACGGGUGAGGAAUACAUCGGAAUCUACUUUUUCGUGGGGGAUAACGUAGGGAAACUUACGCUAAUACCGCAUACGACCUACGGGUGAAAGCAGGGGAUCUUCGGACCUUGCGCGAAUGAAUGAGCCGAUGUCGGAUUAGCUAGUUGGCGGGGUAAAGGCCCACCAAGGCGACGAUCCGUAGCUGGUCUGAGAGGAUGAUCAGCCACACUGGAGCUGGGACACGGUCCAGACUCCUACGGGAGGCAGCAGUGGGGAAUAUUGGACAAUGGGCGCAAGCCUGGUCCAGCCAUACCGCGUGGGUGAAGAAGGCCUUCGGGUUGUAAAGCCCUUUUGUUGGGAAAGAAAAGCAGCAGGUUAAUACCCCGCUGUUCUGACGGUACCCAAAGAAUAAGCACCGGCUAACUUCGUG